rnacentral:sRNA from 1 species
GAACAUAGUGGAGCACGUGUCUUUUUCAGCAUAUGAUUUAAAAGUAAGGAACUAGAGGGCAUAACUAUAAAUAAGAAAUGAGCAAAAUUAUGACCUGGAAUAUGGGUAAAAGUACAAGCAAUAGAAAGAGAAAUAGAAAUGAUCAAUGGUGAAACAGUGGACAGGAGUGUUCAAACUGCCAUCAUAAAUGUGCUUCAUGUGUCCAGAAGGCAGAAAAAAAUAUCAACAUAAGGAGGAAUAACUUGAAAGCAUGAAGAACACCCAUGUGGAACUUCUAGAGACGAAACCCACCAUACUGGAAGUGAAAAUUUUGUUGGAUGAGGCUACUGACUUGUCUGCACUCAAAACUCAAGAACUGUCUCUCCCAGAGUAUGAAGUCACUCAUCUCUACCGACCUGCUUCCCUCCAGGAGUAGACAUGUUAGAAGCCCUCCCACAGGCCGUUUGCCUAAGGAAACUACUGUUCUUUGGAGGCAUUGACUAUCUAGAUGACAGUGUCCCCACUGUGUGUUCCACAAAUGUGCUGGCAACCAGUGCUUGAUGCCACAGGAGUCGCAAAGCAGCACAACCCAAGGACGUGCUUCUCAAAGCUGCAGUCAUCACCAAAGCCAGGACAGAGCUCCAGAAGGUGCUGCACAAGAACACAAGGUCAAGGCUGGCCAGUUCCCACACGUCUGCCAUCACAGCUACUCUGCAGCUGAGACUGCGAGAUCUGUAAGUUCAAGGCUUGUAAGAGCUUCGGGCUGAGUUCAAGGCCAGCCUGGGUAAUUUUGUGACGUCCUGUCUCAAAAUAAAAGCAAGAUAGUUCUGGCAGUAGAGUGUUUGUCUAUAAUUCACAAGGCCCCAUAUCCAAUACCCAUCAUCACAAAAUAAAGUAAAUAUGUGACUGAGAAUGAAUGAAGAUGGUACCAUGGCCUUCAAACGGGGAGUUUCAGCAGGCGGAGGAUUGCACAGGGAUGAGAAGACAGGCCUCACAAGGAGCUCGGUGGUAAGGCAAAGGAAGAGCAAUUCCCAGUUAAUGGUUUACUGCAUUCUAAUUACAGCCACAACCUCUGCAAUAGUUGUCUCCAGUUAAAACCAAAGAGCAGCAUCUUUGCUGUCUUCUGUGACCACCAGAGGCUGAAGGAGAAGAUUCGACAGCAAACAACUGGCUUCUGUUUGCUGGGUCAGGGUCAGGUGUGGUGGCUUUCCGAUGUUAUCCUGACCAGAGUACAGAUUUGGAAGGUGCAUUCUGUACAUUGGAGAAUUAAGCACAUAGAGUUGUAACACUUUCAGUCCAGGAAUGGGGGGUAGGGUGCCUAACAGUAGCUUUAUUAAUAAACAUUUAAUUAUUCCUCAUAACAGACCUGGUACUAUAUGCCUAUAGUUCUAGCACUUAAGAAUGGCAGGAGGAUUAGGCAUGCAAGAUGGCCUUGACUGUGUAGUAAGGUUAGGACCAGGCUGAGCUAUAUAUCUCAACUGGAGGAAAAAAAGUCUAUAGUCUUUUUCCCACAUAUACCCAUCUUCAAUGGGGCACUUUUGCCUGCUGGGGGCUAAUCUCACUACAUUCAUAACAGUUAGUCAUGGAACUGCCUUUCAAACAUGAAGAAGGGGACAGGGCCAAAGAUGGUUUCCUCAUCUGCUCUGUCUUUCCAUUCACAAAGACACUUUUCUGCCAGAGGCAUUACAGAACAGUUAUCUUGAAACCCCAUUGCCAGAACUCAGUUAUAUGCUAUGCCCUAGCAAGAGUUAAGCUAGUCAUAAGUUCCCAUGGCCCUAGUACACCUUGACCGAUUCCAUGAGGUCAGUUUGUCUCUGCUUGCUCCCUCAGUGAAGCCAGAGAAGGGUGUGAGGAUAGCAGAUGCUAAGUGAUGACCUGUAUCUGCCUUGUGUGCCCCUUCCUGUUAGCUCUGUGUCAACUGUAGCCUGUGAGUAGAGUCCUAAAAUUAACACCCCUAACACGUAACAUAUGUACCUGACUUGUACAAGAAUGGCAGGUCAAAAUUCUAAGCAGCACACUUUCAUUCUGCAGAAGUACAUAGGACUGCAGUUCUGUUCCUAACAUCCACAUUCGGUGGCUCACAGCUACCUGUAACUGUAGCAUCAGGACAUCUGAGCUCCUCUGCUGACCUCCAAAAGGACUCCCAUGUGUGUACGUGUGUACACAUAAAUACACACAGAAAUAAUUAGUGCACAUAACAUAACGUAACUAAAACAAAUGAAUC